CCUACGGGAGGCAGCAGUGGGGAAUAUUGCACAAUGGGGGCAACCCUGAUGCAGCGACGCCGCGUGAGCGAUGAAGUAUUUCGGUUUGUAAAGCUCUAUCAGCAGGGAUGAAAACGAUGGUACUUGACUAAGAAGCCCCGGCUAACUACGUGCCAGCAGCCGCGGUAAUACGUAGGGGGCAAGCGUUAUCCGGAUUUACUGGGUGUAAAGGGAGCGUAGACGGCGGUGCAAGCCAGAGGUGAAAGCCCGGGGCUCAACCCCGGGACUGCAUUUGGAACUGUGCUGCUAGAGUGUCGGAGGGGCAGGCGGAAUUCCUAGUGUAGCGGUGAAAUGCGUAGAUAUUAGGAGGAACACCAGGGGCGAAGGCGGCCUGCUGGACGGUGACUGACGUUGAGGCUCGAAAGCGUGGGGAGCAAACAGGAUUAGAUACCCGUGUAGUC
rnacentral:rRNA from 1 species